UCUCCAAAGAGACAUAGUAUUUCUCAUUCUCCAAAUAGUAAUUCUAAUGGCUCCUUUCUUGCACCAGAAAUGGAGCCAAUUGUUCCUGAACUGUGUAUUGACCAUUUGUGGACAGAAACGAUUACUAAUAUAAGAGAGAAAAAUUCACAAGCCUCAAAAGUGUUUAUUACAUCUGACCUAUGUGGGCAAAAGUUCCUGUGCUUUUUAGUAGAGUCCCAGCUCCACUUACGCUGUGUAAAGUUUCAAGAGAGUAACGAUAAAACCCAGCUCAUCUUUGGUUCAGUGACCAACAUACCAGCAAAGGAGCAGCACCAGUGGAGAAAAUAGACACCAUGCUGGUCUUGGAAGGCAGUGGAAACCUGGUGCUA
rnacentral:lncRNA from 1 species